UCAUGGUUCCCAUUAUCACAUCUCUCCUCUACCUUCGAUUGUGUACAACUCAUGGACAAUGGUGGUGAUGAUUGGCGGUGAUGAAACAAUGGAGAACCUCUUCACGUUUCUUCUCUUCCAAGCGACAACAAAGCUGAUGACGACGGUUCGGAACGACGGUGAUGACCAUGACAAUUGGAGGCGGCGAAUUGAGGAUGCCCUGUUUUCUCUGAAACGAUGUGGCUUGGUUAUCGGAGCGACAACAUGAAGCAAAUGCUUUGAUGGCUUGACGGUGGCUGUAGUCUCGGAAACAGAAACUCCGGUGCUCUGGUUUUGUCUUUGGGGGAGACUCUGUGUGACAGGAUAAGUCAGAUUCCCGUCUCACUCUGAAACUCGUUUUACUCGCCAAUUUGUGUCCAGAGACUUUUAGUUAGAUCUUCCAAGGUUUGUGACUAGUUUUGUACUAUCAUUUUUUCUUUUCCGGUGAAACUUCUAGUUGGCUCCUAAUUGCACGGUGGUUCUCAUGUCCUUUAUGUAUUUUUUUAAUAAAAAAGAAUGUACAUGUAUGUUGUUA